rnacentral:rRNA from 1 species
UGGGGAAUAUUGGACAAUGGGGGGAACCCUGAUCCAGCCAUGCCGCGUGUGUGAAGAAGGCCUUAUGGUUGUAAAGCACUUUAAGCGAGGAGGAGGGUACUGGUAUUAAUACUACCAGGUACUGGACGUUACUCGCAGAAUAAGCACCGGCUAACUCUGUGCCAGCAGCCGCGGUAAUACAGAGGGUGCAAGCGUUAAUCGGAAUUACUGGGCGUAAAGCGCGCGUAGGUGGUUCGUUAAGUUGAAUGUGAAAGCCCCGGGCUCAACCUGGGAGCUGCAUCCAAAACUGGCGAGCUAGAGUAGGGCAGAGGGUGGUGGAAUUUCCUGUGUAGCGGUGAAAUGCGUAGAUAUAGGAAGGAACACCAGUGGCGAAGGCGACCACCUGGGCUCAUACUGACACUGAGGUGCGAAAGCGUGGGGAGCAAACAGG